GAGAGCUGCCGGCAGGCCCGGGGGCGCUGCUAUCCCUGGGCAAGGGGGCGGUGGCAUUGGUGGAGGCGGAGGCGGUGUCGUGGUGGUUGUCGGCUCGGCAGCGGCUAGGGCGGCAGCUGCGGGCAGGAGGCGGAGCCGCGGGGCGGCGGGAUUGGGAAGGCUAUAAGAGGUGCCGCGGUGGCUCCGCGCUCCACUCUUCUUUUUCCGGCUUCCCGGGCUCUUUUUGCUGUUGCUCCUGCUCCGGUCUAUGGUGCAGCCCGAACCCAGGACCAUGUCGCGCUCGGAAGAGGUGCACCGAUUGACCGAAAAUGUCUACAAGACAAUUAUGGAACAGUUCAACCCUAGCCUCAGGAACUUCAUUUCCAUGGGGAAGAACUAUGAAAAAGCCCUGGCAGGUGUGACAUUUGCUGCGAAAGGUUAUUUCGAUGCCCUUGUAAAAAUGGGAGAGUUGGCCAGUGAAAGUCAAGGCUCAAAAGAACUUGGGGAUGUACUCUUCCAGAUGGCAGAAGUUCACAGGCAGAUUCAGAAUCAGUUAGAAGAGAUGCUGAAGUCUUUUCAUAAUGAACUACUCACACAGUUGGAGCAGAAAGUGGAAUUAGAUUCCAGGUACCUAAGUGCCGCACUGAAGAAAUACCAGACAGAGCAAAGGAGCAAAGGGGAUGCCCUUGACAAGUGUCAGGCUGAGCUGAAGAAACUCCGUAAGAAGAGCCAGGGGAGUAAAAACCCUCAGAAGUACUCCGACAAGGAACUGCAGUUCAUAGAUGCGAUCAGUAACAAGCAAGGUGAAUUGGAGAAUUAUGUGUCAGAUGGCUAUAAGACAGCUCUCACUGAAGAACGGAGAAGGUUUUGCUUCUUGGUGGAAAAGCAAUGUGCUGUGGCCAAAAACUCAGUCUCCUACCAUUCUAAGGGAAAGGACAUGCUGACUCAGAAACUCCCAUUGUGGCAGCAGUCCUGUGCUGACCCCAAUAAAAUCCCAGAUCGAGCCAUCCAACUGAUGCAACAGAUGGCGGCCAGCAGCAACGGCACAGUCAUGCCCAGCUCCCUGUCUGCUUCCAAGUCCAACUUAGUCAUCUCAGAUCCCAUCCCUGGUGCCAAACCACUUCCAGUGCCCCCAGAGCUGGCCCCAUUUGUAGGGCGUAUGUCUGCCCAGGAGAAUGUGCCUGUAAUGAAUGGGGUCUCAGGUCCAGACAGCGAAGACUACAACCACUGGUCUGACAGGAAGCCAACCCAGCCCAAAUCCCUGUCUCCUCCUCAGACCCAGAACAAGAUGAGCGACUCCUACUCAAACACACUUCCUGUGCGCAAGAGCGUUGCCCCAAAAAACAGCUACGCAACCACUGAGAACAAAACUCUUCCUCGCUCUAGCUCCAUGGCAGCUGGUCUGGAGCGAAAUGGCCGAAUGAGGGUGCAAGCCAUCUUCUCCCAUGCUGCUGGUGACAACAGCACCCUUCUGAGCUUCAAAGAGGGAGAUCUCAUCACCCUGCUGGUCCCUGAGGCCCGGGAUGGCUGGCACUAUGGCGAGAGUGAGAAAACCAAAAUGAGGGGCUGGUUUCCUUUCUCCUAUACUCGAGUCUUGGACAGCGAAGUCAGUGACAGAUUGCACAUGAGUCUGCAACAAGGAAAAAGCAGCAGUACAGGCAACCUCCUAGACAAAGAGGAUCUGGCCAUCCCACCCCCAGAUUAUGGGGUAUCCUCUUCAAGGGCCUUCCCGGCCCAGACGGCCAGCACCUUCAAGCAAAGACCCUACAGCGUGGCCGUACCUGCCUUCUCCCAGUUCAGUCAUAUUCCAUUAUAUUCAUUGUGUCACAACUUGCUUGGCCAUUUCCUGUUCACUGGGCAUUUGCUGCAUUUCUAGUUUUGGGCUAUUAUAAAGAAAAUUCGAAGAUAAGUAAGGGCCUAGAUGACUACGGUUCCCGAUCUGUGAGCAGUGGCAGUGGGACUCUGGUCUCAACAGUGUGAGGACCCCUUGACUAGAAAUGGCACCUGCUGCUUUGAAGAGAUUUUCUGCUUCUCUUUCUCCCUGCCUUGAUUUCUCUGAUUUAUUUGGUCUCUCCCUUUUCCUUUUUCCCCCUUCUUCAACUCAUUGGUUUGUUCUUGGAUAGUCUUUUUUUCCCCCCUUGCCUUUUGGUUGGUGACAUUUUAAACUCUGUGAUCAUCAAGGAUCCAUGGUGCUGCUUCAUCUCUGUUUCUUUAUUCUUCAUCCCUGCCCUGCCUCUGACUCUGGUCCAAAGCCUUUCAGAGUAUAAACUGCCCAACGGGGGUGUCUGCUCCCCUGGGGAGUGGCAGCUUGGAUGCAGUGUCUACAACCAUUCUGCUGCCUCCUUCUCCCCAUGUACCUUUGGAUGUUGACAAUGCACUAUCCCUUUUCUAAAGCUCUUUCCUGAGCCAUGUUUAGAGUCUGAAAGCAAAAGAAAAUCCUCAGCAGAUAAAGGACUCCCUCCAUGGCACCCCAAAAUACUAACACACCCAUACACACCACAAAACAAAACACAUCCAAACCCAAUAUGCAUGGACUAAUGGUGUAUGUACUGUUACGUUUUUUUUUUUCCAAUAUGACUUUCACUGGGUUCACAGCCCAGUUUCUUUAUUAGGCAAGGGAAGGCAGACUAAAGACUCUUAAAGAGGCUAUAGUCUUUCUCUUUGAGAGCAGGCUUGCAGUGCAACCCCCACCCCCUCCCCAGCCCACCCCCUUAUUCCCUUGCCCAAGGGUGGCUUAGAGAACAGUGGAUCGUCAGGCUUUGGCCCACUAGGAAAGCUGGCUGGCUCUCUGUGAAGGACCGUUGGGGCCUCAUGCCCAUCUGCUUAGGACCCAGCCUAAGGGGCCAGUCAAAAGCUUCUUUCUCAAUGAAGUUGUUUUAUAAGUGUACAUAGAAUAUAUAUGUAUAUAUAUAUAUCUUUUUUGUAGCAGGGUAUUGUUACCUCACUUUAGCGCACCUGGGUAGGGGCUGGGGAAGGAAUACGCACCUGACUAAAGAGAAUUCCAAAGACCUUGAUCGAUCGAUCGAUCUAUCUAUCUUACCUACCUAUAGUGAUAGAUAGAUAAAGAUUAUAGGUAUAGCUAUAUAUAUAUAUAUAUGUAUAUUUUUUUUCCUCCUUCCUUUUGGAAAUAUUCCUUAAACCAGCUUUGCAGAUUAGUCCCUACCACAUGCCAGCCCUCCUUCCUUAUAGGGGUGUGGUAACACAAAUGACAUUAAAUGAUUGAACCUCAUUGCCCUGGGCAAGUGGCUAUUUGUAAGGCUGCUUUAAUGACCUGGGCCCCAGGCUGCCCCUGUAUAGGGAGGGGUGGGGUAAACAGGCAGUCUCCUGUUGCAUUCUUUCCUAAACACUGUUCAUCUUCUUUGUAUGUCUUGGUCACUUUAGAGACAAACACAUGGGACUCAAUGGCUACUGGUAUUGUUUCUUCACCCACUGAAUUCUGUCUGGGAAGUGAGUGAAGGGCCAACAGCCCCACUUUACCCUUUCCGUGUUGGUGAAAGUCUUCAUUAUGAAGCCGUAGACACUUCCUUUUCCAGUGUGAUUUUAAAACCUCCUACCUACCUGUUGACUAGGAUUUUGUUGGCAAUACAUAUGAUAUGUAGAGAGAAAACAAGAGAGGGGUUCUCGUUUUUGUGUUAAAAGGGGUGGGGGUGGGGAAGCCAGAACACGGACCUGUUUACUAAGAAACCCUCCGUGUUGGGAUGAUGAUGUUGCUAAAAGAUCUUAAAUCCAGGGGAUUUUAUGCUCAGUGGAUUGAAUGUAUACACAAAAUAGCAAAACUUGUUAUGAAGAUUGUAAAGUGAUGAAAAACCUUUUUUUCUUUUCCUUUUUCUUUCUUUUUUUUUUAAAUCUGAAGAGAAACGUGCCCUGUACUGGAGUAAAUUGUUUGAAUAAAAGUUUUAUUUAUUGCAUUGA